CUGGGAAAAGAGUCAAACCUGCUGCCUGUUGUUGGCUGAACAAAUCCUUUCUUAUUCCAGCCAGAGCCAUCCAGGUCUCCUGGCCUGCCUUGACCCCGCRCUCCUCAAACCAUUAUUGCAACAGCGACAAGGGAAGAUUGAGGCCAGCUGUCUGAGAGUGGCCAAAGCAAACGAGGAGGUGGCAACGUGUGCUGGGGCCCCAGAGCCAAAACCUCUGUGUGCAGCCUGCAGGGAGCCAGGGAAUGGGUGCAGGGCUGCAGCCAUCCCCUAGCGGACCUGGAGCCAGCAGCUGGAAUCCUUGCCACCUUGCUGGAAUCCAGCCACAAGGGAGGACUCGGAGCAGGUCAGUCCCUGGAGUCCUCUGCUGAGUAGUUUAUUGAUGUCUUGGUUAACCACUUGCGGUAGGAGCCAAGUCUGUCUGUGAAAUGCACUGCUCUGGAGCUGCCAGUACCAGUGAGCCUCACUUCUAGGGUGAAUGGAAUUCCAUUGCAUCUAGAGAUGGCCCGUUUCUUCCUCCAUUGGAGAGAACAGCAUCAAAAAUGAUGUGAUGAUAAUAUUUUUUUGUUUGAGGAAUGGCAGGAACACUAAAGUUACUGGACUUGCCCCAGUGAAGGAUUUGCCGCAGAGAGCACAAGAGCUGAGAAGAUAACACCCUCACAGGGGAGAUGGAAAAGUGGAGUGAGAAUUGGCAACGUUGACAGCUGAAACUCACAACUUAAUCUGUUUGGUUAAACUGAGAUGGUAAAUUGCUUGCUGUGGUGUCUGCUGAGUGGUUCUGYGUCCACCUGGAGAUGGUAUUUGCUGCUGGAAGGGAAGGUGGGAAGCCAAGGGAAUUGUGUCCGCAGCCAGCAASGCAGGAUUUGGCUGAACUUGUCUGCUGGAGUCCUAAACAAAAGAAGACCUCCUAGAUAACCAGGCUAUGUAGUUUUCAAAGAUUUAUUUAUAAUUUUAAUGGAAAAAAAAAAACCCCAUA